rnacentral:rRNA from 1 species
AACGCUAGCUACAGGCUUAACACAUGCAAGUCGAGGGGCAUCAUGAGCUUAGCUUGCUAAGUUUGAUGGCGACCGGCGCACGGGUGAGUAACGCGUAUCCAACCUUCCGUUUACUCGGGUAUAGCCUUUCGAAAGAAAGAUUAAUCCCCGAUGGUAUGGUAAGAUUGCAUGAAAUUACCAUUAAAGAUUCAUCGGUAAACGAUGGGGAUGCGUUCCAUUAGGUAGUAGGCGGGGUAACGGCCCACCUAGCCGACGAUGGAUAGGGGUUCUGAGAGGAAGGUCCCCCACAUUGGAACUGAGACACGGUCCAAACUCCUACGGGAGGCAGCAGUGAGGAAUAUUGGUCAAUGGGCGGAAGCCUGAACCAGCCAAGUAGCGUGAGGGACGACGGCCCUACGGGUUGUAAACCUCUUUUGCGCGGGGACAAAGUUCGCCAUGCGUGGCGUUUUGCGGGUACCGCGCGAAUAAGGACCGGCUAAUUCCGUGCCAGCAGCCGCGGUAAUACGGAAGGUCCUGGCGUUAUCCGGAUUCAUUGGGUUUAAAGGGAGCGCAGACGGCAUGUCAAGUCAGCUGUGAAAGUUCGCGGCUCAACCUUGGAAUUGCAGUUGAAACUGGCGUGCUUGAGUUCGGUCGAGGCAGGCGGAAUUCGUGGUGUAGCGGUGAAAUGCUUAGAUAUCACGAAGAACUCCGAUUG